ACCGGUGAAGCCGAAUGCUUAGGCCUUGUGUUUGUAUGUAUUCAAGUGCUCAGGUCUUGUAUUGGCAUUGUUGUGUGCCGUGGUGAAGCCAUGUUUCCGGUCUAAUGUUGGCAUGGUGUUGCUCUUUGGUGAAGCUGUUCGCUCGUUUCAUUUGUUAGCAUAGUUUGCGCCCUGCUGAAGACGUGUUCCCAGAUAUUGUGUUUGCGUGUAUUUGCGCCCUUGUGAAGCUGUGUGGUCAGACAAGCAACUCAAUGCGGCUGGCCACCAGCAAGCCUGUCAUUGGCCGACCAGCCCCAGUCAACCAGACACCAGGGUAUAAAAGCACCUGCAUCCUCUGCACCAGUCAGUCAGACUUGGUCUACCUUAUGAUGGCAGCUGCGAUGACUGCCGAAACGUCGCAAGACGAUUACAUGCCACGGCCUACACCCAGAAGCCAAGAAAAUGCAGGAUUUACUGAACAGCCAAGUGAGGCGAAUUCUUUCCUGUUUCCAGGCACAUUGCAGAAGCCUAACAAUGCGCAUUGUAAGUGAUGACAUUUUUUAUAGGUGUUUUGUAAGUAAAUUCAAAGAAUGUGUAGCA